rnacentral:rRNA from 1 species
GACGAACGCUGGCGGCGUGCUUAACACAUGCAAGUCGAACGGUGAAGCGCUUGCCUUUUUGGUGGGUGUGGAUGAGUGGCGAACGGGUGAGUAACACGUGAGUAACCUGCCCUCUUCUUCUGGAUAACCUCAUGAAAGUGGGGCUAAUACGGGGUAUUCCGGGUCUGUCGCAUGGCGGGUUUGGGAAAGAUUGCGCCUUUGGGUGUUUUCGGUGGGGGAUGGGCUCGCGGCCUAUCAGCUUGUUGGUGGUGUGAUGGCCUACCAAGGCGGUGACGGGUAGCCGGCCUGAGAGGGUGGACGGCCACACUGGGACUGAGACACAGCCCAGACUCCUGCGGGAGGCAGCAGUGGGGAAUAUUGCACAAUGGGCGCAAGACUGAUGCAGCGACGCCGCGUGAGGGAUGGAGGCCUUCGGGUUGUGAACCUCUUUCGCCAGUGAAGCAGGCCUGCUCCUGUGUGGGUGGGUUGACGGUAGCUGGAUAAGAAGCGCCGGCUAACUACGUG